rnacentral:rRNA from 1 species
GAAAAAAUGGGGUGGAAGAGUUUAGUUAAGCAAAUACCUGUAAUAGAAAUUUCAGGGAUUAUAAGAAGAUAUUGUAGUAUUAGGUGAGAAAAGUAGUAUUAAAAUUAAAGGGGAACCAGUACCGUGCGGGAAGCAAAAAGGAGAGAAUAAGUAGUGCCAAUACACGUACCUUUUGCAUCAUGGUUUAGUAAGUAUAAUCACUAAAGAGUUAAUCUCGAAACCUGGCGAGCGUCUUUUGUGUUUAGUGUUAGAAAAAUGCCUGCUCAUGUGGCAAAAUGGGGGAAAAACAUCAAGGAAGAGUUGAGAUUUUAUUCGUGCAUGGUGGUAGCUAGUUACCUCAGAAAUGUAUCUUAGUACAGUAAAAACUGUAGGUUUUUGGGAUUAAAAAGAUUAGGUAUUUAUAUUCCUGAGAACAGGUUGUAGUUAGUGAGACUCUGGAAGCUAAGUUCGAGGGUAAAGACAAAUGCCAAAUGAAUAAAAUAAAUAGGUAGGAGGGCUUAAGAUUAGUCGGCCUGCAAAGCUGUUUGUUAUAAAUGACUUGGGUUACUAGUUAAAUGAUAGUUUUUGGUAAGAAGAUGGGGUAAUACACAACGAUGAUAGAAAAGUGUAAAUAGAAUGCUAAAAUGAGUAUUAUAAAGUAGUAGUAAUUAAGGUGUUGUAAUAAGUGUACAUCUCGGUUUAGGUUAAAAUUAUGAAAACAUCCAAAAAAGGAACUAGGCAAAUAGAAACUUCGCCUGUAUAGCAAAAACAUGGCUCUUUGGAUAAAAUAAAGAGUUAGACCUGCCCAGUGACAAAGUUGUUGAAAACUAGUUAAAUGGCCGCGGUACCUUGACCGUGCGAAGGUAGCAUAAUCAUUUGCCUCCUAAUUAGAGGCUGGUAUGAAAGGUCAGACGGGAGUUUAGCUGUCUCUUCUUGGAGAGAAAGAAUUUAAUUUUCAGGUUCAAAAGCCUGAAUGGGAUUAAUAGACGAGAAGACCCUAGCGAGCUUAAUUUUUAGGUUAAGAUGCAGACUCAGGUUGACUGUAAAUUUUGGUUGGGGCGAUUAAGGAAUCUGGAGCAUCCUUUAAUUUAUUGAGUAAAAUAACAUAUUUAGUGAUCCAGUAGUAUGGUGCUGAUUAUCAGGUGAGUUACCGUAGGGAUAACAGCGUAAUCUUCUUUGAGAGUUCUUAUUGAAAAGGGGGUUUGCGACCUCGAUGUUGGACUAGGAUACCCUGGGGGUGCAGAAGCUCUCGAAGGUUGGUCUGUUCGACCAAUAAUAUCCUACAUGAUCUGAGUUCAGACCGG